rnacentral:rRNA from 1 species
GGGUUGUGAGGUUAAGCGACUAAGCGUACACGGUGGAUGCCCUGGCAGUCAGAGGCGAUGAAGGACGUGCUAAUCUGCGAUAAGCGUCGGUAAGGUGAUAUGAACCGUUAUAACCGGCGAUUUCCGAAUGGGGAAACCCAGUGUGUUUCGACACACUAUCAUUAACUGAAUCCAUAGGUUAAUGAGGCGAACCGGGGAACUGAAACAUCUAAGUACCCCGAGGAAAAGAAAUCAACCGAGAUUCCCCCAGUAGCGGCGAGCGAACGGGGAGGAGCCCAGAGCCUGAAUCAGUGUGUGUGUUAGUGGAAGCGUCUGGAAAGGCGCGCGAUACAGGGUGACAGCCCCGUACACAAAAAUGCACAUGCUGUGAGCUCGAUGAGUAGGGCGGGACACGUGGUAUCCUGUCUGAAUAUGGGGGGACCAUCCUCCAAGGCUAAAUACUCCUGACUGACCGAUAGUGAACCAGUACCGUGAGGGAAAGGCGAAAAGAACCCCGGCGAGGGGAGUGAAAAAGAACCUGAAACCGUGUACGUACAAGCAGUGGGAGCCUCUUUUAUGGGGUGACUGCGUACCUUUUGUAUAAUGGGUCAGCGACUUAUAUUCUGUAGCAAGGUUAACCGAAUAGGGGAGCCGAAGGGAAACCGAGUCUUAACUGGGCGUUAAGUUGCAGGGUAUAGACCCGAAACCCGGUGAUCUAGCCAUGGGCAGGUUGAAGGUUGGGUAACACUAACUGGAGGACCGAACCGACUAAUGUUGAAAAAUUAGCGGAUGACUUGUGGCUGGGGGUGAAAGGCCAAUCAAACCGGGAGAUAGCUGGUUCUCCCCGAAAGCUAUUUAGGUAGCGCCUCGUGAAUUCAUCUCCGGGGUAGAGCACUGUUUCGGCAAGGGGGUCAUCCCGACUUACCAACCCGAUGCAAACUGCGAAUACCGGAGAAUGUUAUCACGGGAGACACACGGCGGGUGCUAACGUCCGUCGUGAAGAGGGAAACAACCCAGACCGCCAGCUAAGGUCCCAAAGUCAUGGUUAAGUGGGAAACGAUGUGGGAAGGCCCAGACAGCCAGGAUGUUGGCUUAGAAGCAGCCAUCAUUUAAAGAAAGCGUAAUAGCUCACUGGUCGAGUCGGCCUGCGCGGAAGAUGUAACGGGGCUAAACCAUGCACCGAAGCUGCGGCAGCGACGCUUAUGCGUUGUUGGGUAGGGGAGCGUUCUGUAAGCCUGCGAAGGUGUGCUGUGAGGCAUGCUGGAGGUAUCAGAAGUGCGAAUGCUGACAUAAGUAACGAUAAAGCGGGUGAAAAGCCCGCUCGCCGGAAGACCAAGGGUUCCUGUCCAACGUUAAUCGGGGCAGGGUGAGUCGACCCCUAAGGCGAGGCCGAAAGGCGUAGUCGAUGGGAAACAGGUUAAUAUUCCUGUACUUGGUGUUACUGCGAAGGGGGGACGGAGAAGGCUAUGUUGGCCGGGCGACGGUUGUCCCGGUUUAAGCGUGUAGGCUGGUUUUCCAGGCAAAUCCGGAAAAUCAAGGCUGAGGCGUGAUGACGAGGCACUACGGUGCUGAAGCAACAAAUGCCCUGCUUCCAGGAAAAGCCUCUAAGCAUCAGGUAACAUCAAAUCGUACCCCAAACCGACACAGGUGGUCAGGUAGAGAAUACCAAGGCGCUUGAGAGAACUCGGGUGAAGGAACUAGGCAAAAUGGUGCCGUAACUUCGGGAGAAGGCACGCUGAUAUGUAGGUGAAGCGACUUGCUCGUGGAGCUGAAAUCAGUCGAAGAUACCAGCUGGCUGCAACUGUUUAUUAAAAACACAGCACUGUGCAAACACGAAAGUGGACGUAUACGGUGUGACGCCUGCCCGGUGCCGGAAGGUUAAUUGAUGGGGUUAGCGGUAACGCGAAGCUCUUGAUCGAAGCCCCGGUAAACGGCGGCCGUAACUAUAACGGUCCUAAGGUAGCGAAAUUCCUUGUCGGGUAAGUUCCGACCUGCACGAAUGGCGUAAUGAUGGCCAGGCUGUCUCCACCCGAGACUCAGUGAAAUUGAACUCGCUGUGAAGAUGCAGUGUACCCGCGGCAAGACGGAAAGACCCCGUGAACCUUUACUAUAGCUUGACACUGAACAUUGAGCCUUGAUGUGUAGGAUAGGUGGGAGGCUUUGAAGUGUGGACGCCAGUCUGCAUGGAGCCGACCUUGAAAUACCACCCUUUAAUGUUUGAUGUUCUAACGUUGGCCCCUGAUCGGGGUUGCGGACAGUGUCUGGUGGGUAGUUUGACUGGGGCGGUCUCCUCCUAAAGAGUAACGGAGGAGCACGAAGGUUGGCUAAUCCUGGUCGGACAUCAGGAGGUUAGUGCAAUGGCAUAAGCCAGCUUGACUGCGAGCGUGACGGCGCGAGCAGGUGCGAAAGCAGGUCAUAGUGAUCCGGUGGUUCUGAAUGGAAGGGCCAUCGCUCAACGGAUAAAAGGUACUCCGGGGAUAACAGGCUGAUACCGCCCAAGAGUUCAUAUCGACGGCGGUGUUUGGCACCUCGAUGUCGGCUCAUCACAUCCUGGGGCUGAAGUAGGUCCCAAGGGUAUGGCUGUUCGCCAUUUAAAGUGGUACGCGAGCUGGGUUUAGAACGUCGUGAGACAGUUCGGUCCCUAUCUGCCGUGGGCGCUGGAGAACUGAGGGGGGCUGCUCCUAGUACGAGAGGACCGGAGUGGACGCAUCACUGGUGUUCGGGUUGUCAUGCCAAUGGCACUGCCCGGUAGCUAAAUGCGGAAGAGAUAAGUGCUGAAAGCAUCUAAGCACGAAACUUGCCCCGAGAUGAGUUCUCCCUGAGACUUUAAGUCUCCUGAAGGAACGUUGAAGACGACGACGUUGAUAGGCCGGGUGUGUAAGCGCAGCGAUGCGUUGAGCUAACCGGUACUAAUGAACCGUGAGGCUUAACCUUACAACGCCGAAG